GUAAUACGAAGGGACCUAGCGUAGUUCGGAAUUACUGGGCUUAAAGAGUUCGUAGGUGGUUGAAAUAGUUGGUGGUGAAAUCCCAGAGCUUAACUCUGGAACUGCCAUCAAAACUUUUCAGCUAGAGUAUGAUAGAGGAAAGCAGAAUUUCUAGUGUAGAGGUGAAAUUCGUAGAUAUUAGAAAGAAUACCAAUUGCGAAGGCAGCUUUCUGGAUCAUUACUGACACUGAGGAACGAAAGCAUGGGUAGCGAAGAGGAUUAGAUACCCUCGUAGUCCAUGCCGUAAACGAUGUGUGUUAGACGUUGGAAAUUUAUUUUCAGUGUCGCAGGGAAACCGAUAAACACACCGCCUGGGGAGUACGACCGCAAGGUUAAAACUCAAAUGAAUUGACGGGGACCCGCACAAGUAGUGGAGCAUGUGGUUUAAUUCGAAGAUACGCGCAGAACCUUACCAACACUUGACAUGUUCGUCGCGACUCUAAGAGAUUAGAGUUUUCGGUUCGGCCGGACGAAACACAGGUGCUGCAUGGCUGUCGUCAGCUCGUGUCGUGAGAUGUUGGGUUAAGUCCCGCAACGAGCGCAACCCUCACUUUUAGUUGCCAUCAUUAAGUUGGGCACUCUGAAAGAACUGCCAGUGAUAAGCUGGAGGAAGGUGGGGAUGACGUCAAGUCCUCAUGGCCCUUACGUGUUGGGCUACACACGUGCUACAAUGGUAUCUACAACAGGAAGCAAGACUGCGAGGUCAAGCAAAUCCCUAAAAGAUACCUCAGUUCGGAUUGCACUCUGCAACUCGGGUGCAUGAAGCUGGAAUUACUAGUAAUCGUGGAUCAGCGUGCCACGGUGAAUGCGUUCCCGGGUCUUGUACACACCGCCCGUCACACCAUGGGAGUUGGUUCUACCUUAAGGCAAGGUUUCAAACCCUUGACCACGGUAUAGUCAGCGACUGGGGUG
rnacentral:rRNA from 1 species